rnacentral:lncRNA from 1 species
CUCUUUCUUGCUUUGCCUCAUAAUUUUGGACUUACCUAGUAGCUUCUUCUUCUUUUUUUUUUUUUUCCUUUUUCACAUCAGAUGGGAAAUGUGCCAACGUCACAACAAGGUUUGAGGGAGGCACAUCUCAUGCUCGGACAUGAACACCCGAUCAUCAUGCUUAUGAACUACAAAAGGAUCUCCAGUAUGGGCUCACGGCAGUUGGCCCUUGAAUAACAUGAAUUUGAACUGCCUGAGUCUGCUAAUAUGUGGAUUAUCUUCUGCUUCUGCACCCUGAGACAGCAAGACCAACCCUUCCUCUUGCUUCUUUUCCUUAGCCUAUUCAACGUGAAGAUGACUAAGAGACUAUGUAAGAAACUGGUGAU